rnacentral:rRNA from 1 species
ACGGCCAUACCAUGCUGAACAUAUCGGUUCUCGUUAGAUCACCGAAGUCAAGCAUCAUUGGGCGCGGUCAGUACUUGGGUGGGUGACCACCUGGGAACACCGCGUGCCGUU